rnacentral:rRNA from 1 species
UACAGAGGUCCCAAGCGUUGUCCGGAUUUACUGGGCGUAAAGAGCGCGCAGGCGGUCGUUCAAGUCGCGUGUGAAAGCCCCCGGCUCAACUGGGGAGGGUCACGCGAUACUGAUCGACUGGAAGGCAGGAGAGGGUAGUGGAAUUCCCGGUGUAGUGGUGAAAUGCGUAGAUAUCGGGAGGAACACCAGUGGCGAAGGCGACUACCUGGCCUGUUCUUGACGCUGAGGCGCGAAAGCGUGGGGAGCAAACAGG